rnacentral:tRNA from 1 species
GCGGAUUUAGCUCAGUUGGGAGAGCGCCAGACUGAAGAAAACUUCGGUCGCCGAAAUCUGGAGGUCCUGUGUUCGAUCCACAGAAUUCGCA